GUGGUGUGUGCGAAACUACUUUUGAUAAAACAGAAUUAUUGAAACAUCCUUGUUUGUUAGAUUAUAACAAGUGUCAAAUAGAUGCAAAUUUUUAUGUUUAUCCUGCACUCGAUGAUGGAAAAAUUCUACAUAAGAGUUUGGUGGAUAGUGCAGAGAUUAUUGUUACGGAAACCAGCAAAGUCCCAAACCAAAAGACUGAUGCAAGUAAUUGGCGAAAUAUAAGAAUUAUAGAAGAGGAACGUUUAAUCGACGAAAUUUGUAAAUGUCCGCCGUUAUGGAAUUUUAAACUUCCCCUUAUCGAAAGAAGCCUGCAAAUAAAAAAAAACUGUGGGAAGAAGUAACAGAAGCAAUGGAUGGUAGUAUUUAAUAGUCAUAAUUUAACUGGACUAAAAUUCGUUCAUAUUAAAUAUAUUUUUCUUUUCUAGGCAAAAUGGACAUUAUAACUAUUAAAAAAAGAUGGAAAUAUCUGUGCGAUACUUUCCGAAACCAUAAAAAUAAGCAGCAUCAGCCUAGUGGCUCGGCAGGAAUAUCGCGUCAAAAAAA